GGUCGGAUGGUCUAGUGGUAUGAUUCUCGCUUAGGGCACACCCUGAGUGCGGUCACUGGUUCCCAGUGAUCAAUUUGCGAGAGGUCCCGGGUUCAACUCCCGGUUCGACCC